UUAUUGUAUUAGAAAAUAGUUUUCUUCACACUAAUAUGGAACUAUGCCUCUUUUUUUUUUUUGUUGGCAAUAUAUGCUAAUUUGAAAAAGACAAAAUUAGAAUUGAAUAUUAAAUUCAUAAAAAUAGUAUUCUCCAUCUUUCUUCCUAAACUAGCCUUGUACCGUAUUGUUUCUGAGCACAGAUCUUGGAUCCUCCAGGAAAAAGAGCAUCUGCUGUCACAAAGGUAUAAUAUAUCCAGUUGGUACCUUGGUUUCUAGAGUAAACACUGUGACCCACUAUAUGGAAUAUGAACAAUAUAAUUUACUUUACUAAAGACAAGAAGUGGGAAAGUUGCUAACUGACAGUAUUCAAUUUUGCAUUGUGGCAGUUGCACUUCCCCCCCUGAGAAUUGGUGUGGCAGUUACACAUCCCCCUCUGAGAACUGGAGCCUUCAGUGGGGCAGUUAAUGGCUCUUUUGUGGGACCCGGAGUCAGUUGACAGGAUUGUUAGCAGAGGAGUGGUCCAGAGAAGCUGAGAAGCUUCUGGAAUGCCCACAGCCAGAUCUGAUUAGACUAUAAAACGGGGUGCCUGCCGAGGAUCCCCUUUGUGAGGUUUUCUUGGAGCAGCGAGGCUGCUGAACCGGAGCCCUCCCCUUAGACUGGAACGCUGUCUAAGGAAACUUCCCAGAAUUGGGAGCGCCUCACCUCCUCGUUUGGUCCCAUCAUCCUCUUCACAUGACUACAAGUGGCCACAGUCCUACGGAAUUUCCUUCACACAGGCAGUUGAGGUCCAGCAGCAGAGCCAGCCCACGAUGAAAGGCAGGGAGUUGCCAAGUCCACUAAAUUUCCAGGCACAAAAUGCCAUGAGACAGAAGGAGCUCCUGGACAUGACAGUACCUGGGGAAAUUCCAACCCAACCCCAACCACCAGGGGCUCCUCUGAGAAGACUGCAGCUGACAGUUUCUCCCUCUGCUGCUGAGAAGAAUGGGUGACAACUUUUGUAAUCACAUGCAAUGAUGAAAGAAUUAGCACUUCACAGAGGAAUUCUUCAUUUGUCUUCUGGAGCCAAAUUGGUCCCUUGACUAUCUGAAUUGCACAGAGCAACCAGACCAUAACACUGAAGCAAACACAGCAGGUCCGAAUUGCAUAUUCUGUCCUGCACAUAAUGUGUUUAAAUGUACGUAAUGUCAAUGAGGCAGAGAUGGGAGGAUGGACAAACUGAAGUGCAGGGUUGGCUGAAGGGAACCUGGUGAUGAUCAGGGAAGGAGAUGAAGAAGCCAACAGCAUGGACCGCGGCAGACAGGGACUACCAAGCCACGAGAUCAAAUUGCAGCUAUUUCACGUCAGGUUUGCUAAAGGUAGGUUGCAUGAAGGAGGAUCUGGCUGAAGCAAGUACCUUUUGCUUUGCCAUAUGUGGAACAGAAACACUCAAACAGAGCGGUGGCAACUAAGCACUGAGAACAGUCUUUUUUAUAUCAAGUAUGGCAGGCACUUUUUGAUUGUCCCUUAAAAUACCACAAGAAAUGUUGAACAUUUACUACCCUUUCUAAAAAAGUACAAAAUUAUUUAAUUGCAUGCUGUUGUUUAGGUCUUGUUGCAUAAAGUAUCACUGCCAUGUUAUAAUGUCCCUGUUGAAUAUAGAAAUCAAGAUUUCUGUCUGAGUAUCCAGGUAAAUUUCCCAUUUGCCAAAAAAAAUGUUGUUCCUAAGAACAUAACCACAAUUCAAAACAAGAUGUCUAAAUAAACUUUGCACAUAACAAUGUUUAAUUUUUUUUUUUUGCUAAUAUAUCCUCUUGAGACAGAUAGAUUGAAAAAGCACAGCUAAGAAGUUGGGCUUACACAUCAGCAAAAUGUUUCAGUCACCCUAGUUUAGUCAGAGAAAACUUUUUGGCCUACAGCAGAGCAUUGUGUUUCUCAGUAGGACCAGAGCUAACAUUGAAUGUGAUGAGACAGCUUGCUCUAAGGUGAAUUGGGGCCAAAUUCUUUGGGCUGAGCUUGGACAGGGCUUCUAGCGUUAGGUUAGGCUGGGCUGGAGGCUGCAGGUAUGCUUGCAAGUUUUGUCACAUCAAGUGAAAGUGCUCAAAUCCUGGGAACAGAAACGUUUCCCAUUGAAAUUGCACCUAUUUGUGAUAAAUAGCUUAGUCACACUGUCCAUUAAGCAACUGUCAAACUUCAUAUGUCUGUCAAAGUCAUAUUCUUUGCUCCUGUAUUUUGGUACCACACCAAAAGUUAUCUGAACUAAUUUGAGUUUCAAGACAAUUCCUCUUUGCCUUUCACACCAUUUGAAGCUGAAGCUUUAAAGUCAUGUCUUUCAUAGAUGCCCCCAGAGAUUUCAUGAGUAAAGCAAGACACCCUUAUACAGUGCUAGGGUAAAAUUUAUCCUCUUCAAUAUAUCUGAGAUAUUCUUUUGAAUUUUAUUACACUGGAAAUUAUGCAGGGAAAGCAGGUGAAACUGAAUUAGAGAUUUUUUGCAGAUAAGACCUGAACAGUGUUAUAUUUUGUUACCUGUCAUUAGCUGCACUGACUUUUACUAAUUAAGUCUAAAGUUUGGUGCCCUCUCAGAUUUAAAAAGGUAUAUAUUUGGUUUAACCUGGGCAUAGGAGCCGUGAGUAAAUCUGCAUCUCAGGAGCAGGGAAAGCUUUUGUUUUCUCUCUCCAUUUGACAGCCAGAGGAACCUCAGCUGCUGACCCUGCAGAGGUGUUUCCAGUCAUUGUCUCUCUGACUCCACCUCAGCAGUCUGCAGGUGGGGUAGCAGGCAGGAGGGUGAUGUGUUUGUGUAUGUGCUGCUAUUCUGUCUAUUCAAAGGAACAACAGAAACACAAAACACUGUAGCUCUGCACUUUCACCUUCCCAAGCCAAAAAAUGCUGUUUUCUUGCACAUAAAUAUUAUUUGUGGCUCCACUUCACCCUGCUAUUUAUCCCUGCCACAGAUAAGAGGGGGACUGCACCAUUCUGCAGGCUGUGAAGCCGGGGCAAAGGUUUGCCUGACACAGGCAGCAGAGACAGGAUUGGCACCAGAUACAGCCCUGCUCCGCUCACUCCACCACCCCUGCUCUGCUUUGUUGUGUGCUACAGCUAAAUUCUUACCCCUAUGACUGAAAAAAAGGCACAAGCAAUGCCCCAGAGACCAGCUCUGAAUCAAUAUAGGCUUUAAUAAAAGAGCUUAUGUGGUUUCCUUUUUUUUUUUUAAUUUUAAUUCUAAAUUUUUGAAACUUCAAAAUAUACAAACAAUAAUCAAAAGCAGGAAUGGCCGUGUCAUUAUGUUACCUCAGGAGCAAAAAGCACCAUAACUCUGGUGCUUCAAGUUUGUGAGAAGCUGAAGUAAACACCAGACAACAAAUAUGACAUUAACCUCUGACAUUAAUAGGAAUACAAUGCAUUUGAGUGUGUGCAAGAUGUCCAAAAGAUUUACAUGUGUACCUACAUAUAAUUUCUUACAUUUGUGGCCUCUAAAGUGGAUUUGGAAAGGAUAUUUUUAAAAGUAGUUUCACCACCACCACCAUUUACAGAAUGAAGCAUUGCAACAUUUUCCUAUAGCUUACAAAUCACUGUGCAUUGGGAAUUCCAGUUUCUGGCAUUUGUUAGGAGCAUGUU